rnacentral:ncRNA from 1 species
CCUUCGAUAUAGGCUCUUCCAUUCACUAUGAAGCAGAAUUCACCAAGUGUUGGUUUGUUCACCCACUAAUUGGGAACGUGAGCUGGGCUUAGACCGUGAUGAGAUAGGUU